UGCAGACAGGAAAUUCUACUGGGUUUGUGUGGCAAGGUUUGGGUAGUGGUUGGGGCUACAGGGGUGGCUCCUGUGAGAAGCUGCUAGAACUUUCCCUGUGUCCAGUGAAGCCACUGCCAGCUGGCUCCAGGACAGACCCCCCUCUGGCCAAGGCUGAGCCCAUCCGAGAUGGCAGCAGCACCUCUGGGAUUUGAGGCUGUAAGAGAAGUUAUUACUCAGGAGCAACUUCAGCCAAAGAAGAGAGGAGUGAGAAUAUGUGAGAGGAGCAGCUCUGCAGGCACCCAGGUCAGCAAAGGAGAGGGAAGAGGGGCUCCAGGCAGAGAUUCCCCUGCAGCCCCUGGAGGAACCCACCCUGGAGCAGCUGGAUUCCUGAAGGAGACUGCAGGAAGCCCAUGCUGGAGAAGGCUCCUGGACCUGUGGACCAGGGGAGAGAACAGCCAGCACAGGAAUAGAUUUCUGGCAAGACUUAUUGACCUGGUGGGGGACCCAUGCUGGAGCAGCCUGUUUCUGAAGGAGAAUUAUGAGGAAACGAGCCUGACUAUGGAAAGUGUUCCCUUUUUGCCUUCUUCAUGUGAACAGACAAACUGUGAGUGAAAUACCUUCACAGCAAGAGUAAAGAUAUCAGGAAAUCUCUUCUUUUAUGACUAUGUGCAGGGAAGCUCUGAAAGUCUGUGGAGGAUGAGUUGAAAGGUGCUGUGUGGCUGUGCCAGUGGUGGGCAGCUGUGCCACAUGUGUCCCCUUGGCCCUGAAGACACAGGCUCAGCUGGAGGUAGAGAGAGGAGGUUCCUGUAAGCCUGGAACUGCAGGAGAACCAUGCCUUUAAACCACACCCUCCUGCUUGUUCCUGAGAGUUUGCAGUCUACUCCUAAGCUACAGAAGGAAGGGAAG